CCCUUAGAUGUUCUGGGCCGCACGCGCGCUACACUGAACAGUUCAACAAGUCUUAACCUUGGCCGAUAGGUCUGGGUAAUCUUUGAACGCUGUUCGUGAUUGGGAUAGACCUUUGCAAUUAUGGAUCUUCAACGAGGAAUUCCUAGUAAACGCAAGUCAUCAGCUUGCAUUGAUUACGUCCCUGCCCUUUGUACACACCGCCCGUCGCACCUACCGAUUGAAUGGUCCGGUGAAAUCUCGGGACGGCGGCUUGGUCGCUUGCGUCCGACUGCUGAAACUUGAUUAAACCAUAUCAUUUAGAGGAAGGUGAAGUCGUANCA
rnacentral:rRNA from 1 species